rnacentral:rRNA from 1 species
GGUAGACGAUGGCAAAUUGGUUAAUAUUCCAAUACCAACAUUAGUGUGCGAUGGAAGGACGCUUAGGGCUAAGGGGGCUAGCGGAUGGAAGUGCUAGUCUAAGGUCGUAGGAGGUUAUACAGGCAAAUCCGUAUAACAAUACUCCGAGAACUGAAAGGCUUUUUGAAGUCUUCGGAUGGAUAGAAGAACCCCUGAUGCCGUCGAGCCAAGAAAAGUUUCUAAGUUUAGCUAAUGUUGCCCGUACCGUAAACCGACACAGGUGGGUGGGAUGAGUAUUCUAAGGCGCGUGGAAGAACUCUCUUUAAGGAACUCUGCAAAAUAGCACCGUAUCUUCGGUAUAAGGUGUGGUUAGCUUUGUAUUAGGAUUUACUCCGAAAGCAAGGAAACUUACAACAAAGAGUCCCUCCCGACUGUUUACCAAAAACACAGCACUCUGCUAACUCGUAAGAGGAUGUAUAGGGUGUGACGCCUGCCCGGUGCUCGAAGGUUAAUUGAUGGGGUUAGCAUUAGCGAAGCUCUUGAUCGAAGCCCGAGUAAACGGCGGCCGUAACUAUAACGGUCCUAAGGUAGCGAAAUUCCUUGUCGGUUAAAUACCGACCUGCAUGAAUGGCGUAACGAGAUGGGAGCUGUCUCAAAGAGGGAUCCAGUGAAAUUGUAGUGGAGGUGAAAAUUCCUCCUACCCGCGGCAAGACGGAAAGACCCCGUGGACCUUUACUACAGCUUGACACUGCUACUUGGAUAAGAAUGUGCAGGAUAGGUGGGAGGCUUUGAGUAUAUGACGCCAGUUGUAUAUGAGCCAUUGUUGAGAUACCACUCUUUCUUAUUUGGGUAGCUAACCAGCUUGAGUUAUCCUCAAGUGGGACAAUGUCUGGUGGGUAGUUUGACUGGGGCGGUCGCCUCCCAAAUAAUAACGGAGGCUUACAAAGGUUGGCUCAGAACGGUUGGAAAUCGUUCGUAGAGUAUAAAGGUAUAAGCCAGCUUAACUGCAAGACAUACAAGUCAAGCAGAGACGAAAGUCGGUCUUAGUGAUCCGGUGGUUCUGUGUGGAAGGGCCAUCGCUCAAAGGAUAAAAGGUACCCCGGGGAUAACAGGCUGAUCUCCCCCAAGAGCUCACAUCGACGGGGAGGUUUGGCACCUCGAUGUCGGCUCAUCGCAUCCUGGGGCUGGAGCAGGUCCCAAGGGUAUGGCUGUUCGCCAUUUAAAGCGGUACGCGAGCUGGGUUCAGAACGUCGUGAGACAGUUCGGUCCCUAUCUGCCGUGGGCGUAAGAAGAUUGAAGAGAUUUGACCCUAGUACGAGAGGACCGGGUUGAACAAACCACUGGUGUAGCUGUUGUUCUGCCAAGAGCAUCGCAGCGUAGCUAAGUUUGGAAAGGAUAAACGCUGAAAGCAUCUAAGCGUGAAGCCAACUCUAAGAUGAAUCUUCUCUAAGCUCUCUAGAAGACUACUAGUUUGAUAGGCUGGGUGUGUAAUGGAUGAAAGUCCUUUAGCUGACCAGUACUAAUAGAGCGUUUGGCUUAUCUUUAAUAAAGCAU